GAUGAACGCUGGCGGCGUGCUUAACACAUGCAAGUCGAACGGUGAAGCAGAGCUUGCUCUGUGGAUCAGUGGCGAACGGGUGAGUAACACGUGAGCAACCUGCCCCUGACUCUGGGAUAAGCGCUGGAAACGGCGUCUAAUACUGGAUAUGUGACGUGACCGCAUGGUCUGCGUCUGGAAAGAAUUUCGGUUGGGGAUGGGCUCGCGGCCUAUCAGCUUGUUGGUGAGGUAAUGGCGCACCAAGGCGUCGACGGGUAGCCGGCCUGAGAGGGGGACCGGCCACACUGGGACGGAGACACGGCCCAGACUCCUACGGGAGGCAGCAGUGGGGAAUAUUGCACAAUGGGCGAAAGCCUGAUGCAGCAACGCCGCGUGAGGGAUGACGGCCUUCGGGUUGUAAACCUCUUUUAGCAGGGAAGAAGCGAAAGUGACGGUACCUGCAGAAAAAGCGCCGGCCAACUACGUGCCAGCCGCCGCCGUAAAAC
rnacentral:rRNA from 1 species